rnacentral:rRNA from 1 species
UUAUCGGAGAGUUUGAUCCUGGCUCAGGACGAACGCUGGCGGCGUGCCUAAUACAUGCAAGUCGAGCGGACAGAUGGGAGCUUGCUCCCUGAUGUUAGCGGCGGACGGGAGAGUAACACGUGGGUAACCUGCCUGUAAGACAGGGAUA